AUUGAACGCUGGCGGCAGGCUUAACACAUGCAAGUCGAGCGAGCGGCGGACGGGUGAGUAAGGUCUGGUAAACUGCCUGAUGGAGGGGGAUAACUACUGGAAACGGUAGCUAAAACCGCAUACCAUCAGAUGUGCCCAGAUGGGAUUAGCUAGUAGGGGGGGUAAUGGCUCACCUAGGCGACGAUCCCUCGCGGGUCUGAGAGAAUGACCAGCCACACUGGAACGGAGACACGGUCCAGACUCCUACGGGAGGAAGCAGUGGGGAAUAUUGGACAAUGGGCGAAGGCCGGAUAAAACCAUGCCGCGGGUGGGAAGAAGGCUUUCGGGUUGUAAAGCCCUUUCAGCGAGGAGGCGUUACUCGCAGAAGAAGCAACGGCUAACUCCGUGCCAGCAGCCGCGGUAAUUC
rnacentral:rRNA from 1 species